ACGGGUGAGUAACACGUGGGCAACCUGCCCUUGAGACUGGGAUAACUUCGGGAAACCGGAGCUAAUACCGGAUAAUAUAAGGAACCUCCUGGUUCCUUGUUGAAAGAUGGUUUCGGCUAUCACUUAAGGAUGGGCCCGCGGCGCAUUAGCUAGUUGGUGAGGUAACGGCUCACCAAGGCGACGAUGCGUAGCCGACCUGAGAGGGUGAUCGGCCACACUGGGACUGAGACACGGCCCAGACUCCUACGGGAGGCAGCAGUAGGGAAUCUUCCACAAUGGACGAAAGUCUGAUGGAGCAACGCCGCGUGAGUGAUGAAGGCCUUCGGGUCGUAAAGCUCUGUUGUUAGGGAAGAACAAGUGCGAGAGUAACUGCUCGCACCUUGACGGUACCUAACCAGAAAGCCACGGCUAACUACGUGCCAGCAGCCGCGGUAAUACGUAGGUGGCAAGCGUUAUCCGGAAUUAUUGGGCGUAAAGCGCGCGCAGGUGGUUUCUUAAGUCUGAUGUGAAAGCCCACGGCUCAACCGUGGAGGGUCAUUGGAAACUGGCGAACUUGAGUGCAGAAGAGGAAAGUGGAAUUCC
rnacentral:rRNA from 1 species